AUUGAACGCUGGCGGCAGGCUUAACACAUGCAAGUCGAGCGGAGAUGAGGUGCUUGCACCUUAUCUUAGCGGCGGACGGGUGAGUAAUGCUUAGGAAUCUGCCUAUUAGUGGGGGACAACAUUCCGAAAGGAAUGCUAAUACCGCAUACGUCCUACGGGAGAAAGCAGGGGAUCUUCGGACCUUGCGCUAAUAGAUGAGCCUAAGUCGGAUUAGCUAGUUGGUGGGGUAAAGGCCUACCAAGGCGACGAUCUGUAGCGGGUCUGAGAGGAUGGGCCGCCACACUGGGACUGAGCAAAGGCCCAGACUCCUACGGGAGGCAGCAGUGGGGAAUAUUGGACAAUGGGGGAAACCCUGAUCCAGCCAUGCCGCGUGUGUGAAGAAGGCCUUAUGGUUGUAAGGCACUUUAAGCGAGGAGGAGGCUACUGAGACUAAUACUCUUGGAUAGUGGACGUUACUCGCAGAAUAAGCACCGGCUAACUCUGUGCCAGCCGCCGCGGUAA
rnacentral:rRNA from 1 species